AUGGCGUCGUUCCACGUGGCGCAGGAGGUGGACCCAUGGGCGCCGGGGUUCUGGCGCGACUUCGCCAUGGGCAUGCUCAAGCCGCUGGCGGCGACCGCCGUGGUGGCCAUGGCGGUGGCGCUGAGCUUCACGCAGCGGCUGGGCGUGGAGGCGGAGAUGCUCUACGCCAUCGCGCGCUCCUUCCUGCAGCUCUCCGUCAUCGGCUUCGUGCUCCACUUCAUCUUCACCCAGAGCAGCCCGCUCUGGAUCCUGCUCGCCUACCUCUUCAUGGUCACCGUCGCCGGCUACACCGCGGGCCGCCGCGCCAGGCAGGUCCCGCGCGGCGGGUACAUCGCCGGCGUGUCCAUCCUCGCCGGCACCGCCGUCACCAUGUUCCUGCUCGUGGUGCUCAGCGUGUUCCCCUUCACGCCCCGCUACAUCAUCCCCGUGGCCGGCAUGAUGGUCGGCAACGCCAUGACCGUCACCGGCGUCACCAUGAAGAAGCUCCACGAGGACGUCAAGACGCAGCGGAGCCUCGUGGAGACGGCGCUGGCGCUGGGGGCGACGCCGCGGCAGGCGACGGUGCAGCAGGUGCGGCGGUCGCUGGUGAUCGCGCUGUCGCCGGUGAUCGACAACGCCAAGACGGUGGGGCUGAUCGCGCUGCCGGGGGCCAUGACGGGGCUCAUCAUGGGCGGCGCGUCGCCGCUGGAGGCCAUCCAGCUGCAGAUCGUGGUGAUGAACAUGCUCAUGGGGGCGUCCACCGUCAGCAGCAUCCUCUCCACCUACCUCUGCUGGCCGGCCUUCUUCACCAAGGCCUUCCAGAUCGACGACUCCGUCUUCCCCGACUAG
rnacentral:rRNA from 1 species